UGAGCUAGAGGCAUUCUCUAUUGUACACUUAUCUAAAAAAAAUUGUUUGGAAUGCUUUCCAAAGUCUUAAAACUAUUUGCUUGCCCAAUAGAGGCAAUUUGGCAAUCAUUAGUUGGACAAUUUUCCAUACAUGUCUGUAAACUACAACUAGUAUGUUGCCCAAAAGAGGCAGUCAGGCUAACCAAAUAUUUGGUUGAGUUAUUUAUACAAUAUGAUAAUGCAACAGCUAUUCUGUUUUUGUGAAAUUUGGAAAUACAAUUGUACUUUUCUAUAAAAUAGUUAAUAUUUAUAUAAUUAUUGAUGUCAAUUACAUGUAAUUUGCUAUUAUAUUGGGUCAUCAUAUGCAGUGAUAAAUUUAAUGCAUAUGUUGAAUAAUUUUGUUCAUAGGACAAGUUUCUACUAUAUGGAAAAGUGAACAAUACUAAUUGCCUAACAUUUUAUAAACUCAGUUUUUGUACAUUUUUUUGUAGUUCUUUUUUGUUCAUAUUCCUUGUCUGUCCUAUAAAUACAAUUACAAUGCUCUUAGGAGAAAAUUUAAAAUUACAAAUAUUCUUAACAAUGCCCUGGUAAGAACAGGCAGGCAUACAGUAGUUAGUUAUCUGAUAAUUCAAAUAUUUAUUCAGUGAAUGACACAUAUGUCUUCCAACUUCGUCACUAAACAUUACAACUAUUAUUUUGUUGAGAAUACUUAUUAAUUGUAUUAUGCUUUUUGACUUGGUCCUUACAUCUAAUAGGUUUACAUUGAGUAGAAGGUCAUUUUUUUUGGACCACAUUGCUAUCCUAGCUAGAUCUUCAUUAAGUUUUUUAAUGGUUUGAUCAAUGUCUGCAGGCAAGCAAGAGAUAUACACCUGUAUAUCAUCUGCAUAAAUGUGAAAAUUACAGUACUGAAUAUGGCUUUUAAUAUCGGCAGCAUAUAGAAUGAAGAGAAUUGGACCCAAUAUAGAACCCUGAGGUACUCCUCGAUUUACACUAACCUUAUUUGAAAAUAUUGUAGUCCCAUCAUUUCUCUGUAAUUUCACAUAUUGAGAGCGAUUGCUCAAGUAACUGUUAAACCAUUUCAAAGCACUGUUAUCAACUACAUAGUAUCUAAGUUUGGAAAGCAGCAAAGUGGUAUUUAUUGAGUCAAAUGCCCUAGAGAAAUCUAACAACACUAGAAGUGUACACAUCCCAUUGUCUUGUGCAUGGAGUAUAUUGUCAGUAACAUCAAGCAAAGCUCUUACUGUACUUCGACCUUUUCGGAAUCCUGACUGUACUUCAGGUAAAAUAUUAUUAUCUUCAAGAUAUUUCGAUAAUUGUAUACAAACAGCUUUCUCCAACACCUUUGAUAAACAUGGCAAUAUACUUAUAGGCCUAAGAUCUUUUAACUCACAUGGGUUUGGUUUUUUUGAAUAGGCUUCACAAUUGCAGUUUUCCAUAUAUCUGGGCAUGUGGAUGUGCUAAAAGACUUAUUAAUAAUGUUUUUUAUUAUGUCUGUGUAUGUAAAUGUCAUAAUAAGUAUUUCCAGAGUAAUAUUAUCACAACCCUCGGCAUUUGACUUAAGGCUCUGUAUGAUUUUGUAAAUUUCAUCCAGAUCAACCAUCUCAAUGUGAAAUACAGCUUACAAUUAAAAAAUGAUUAUUGAUCAUAUCCGGGUCACUAAAGUACAUUGGCAAUUCAAUAUUAUUUUUUUAGGUAAUAAGACAUUUAUUAAGUUUUUCCAUAGUUGUUUCGGUUGAUUUAUCUUAUUAUUUAUAUGAUGUUUAAAAAAUGCAGAUUUUUCAAAGAAAAGUGCUUUAUUUACAGAUGAUUUUAAUAUUUUAUAAUACUCUUUUUUUGAAGGUAGCCUUGUCUUAUGGAAAUCCAUCAUAGCCUUAUCCCUCAGCCUCAUCAUAAUUUUAAUUGUGUCAGUUAUCCAUGGAUGGCUGGGAUUUUUGACAAUUAUAGUUUUUAUAGGCGCAUGAAUAUUAAAUAUAGUUAAUACGUUAUGGUUCAGUAACCUGACCAUUUCAUUAACAUUGUCAAGUGAUAAUAUUAAGUCCCAUUUCACACAUCUCAAAUCGUCAUCAAAAUUGUCCGCACAUAUCAUGUUUUUAGGUCUGUAUGUUAUUGUUUUGGGUUUGGGUUUAUUGCAUUUAAUAUUAAAUUCACAUACAAUAAGACAGUGUCCUAAUGUAUAGCCUAAAGGCUCUACUAUAAUAUUUUUAGUGUUCAAAUCAGUGCAAACAAUAUCAAUAAGAGUUUGACUAGAUGUUGUGAAGUGAGUUGGUUCUGUAACAACUUGUGUCAAGUUAAAACAUGAAAUAAAGGUAUUUAAUUUACAUUUGUCACUGUGAUUAUUACAAAGCAUAUUAAUAUCUCCAAGUAAAAUCAAAUUAUCAUAAAUAGGAAUGGAACUAAUUGUAUCUGUCAAUGCAUUAAAAAAUAAGUCAAUGCUCAUCCAAGGUGGCCGAUAUGCAGUGCCAAUCACUAACUUCCUUCCAUUAAGGGUCAUUGUAAGCCACAUUUGUUCCACUGAACUAUGCAAUGGAUCUACUGGGUGACGGAGGAUAUGCACAUUCAUAUUUCUUUUGGUAUAAAACCCAACACCACCCCCUCGCGUACGCACUUGUAAAGGGCGGGGGAUGUGUCGAAGUUGGUAACUAUGCAAAGUGGGGGCCCGACCCUCUUCACCCGAUCUGAGCCAUGUCUCAUUUAUAGCCAAUAUGUCUAUAUCAUGCCUGAUGACUGAGGCUUUAAAAUUGUCAUGGUUUGUGCUAAGAGAGCCAGCAUUCAGCAAACCAAUUUUUAAAUGAUUACUAAUCAUUAUGAUUACCUGUACUAAAAUGUCUUGAUAAAGCAUACAACACACAGAAUGAUAUAAUAAUAUAUAGCUGCUCUCUUUGUAUAAAACUUAUAAGUAUAAGCUUAAAAGUUAUAGAUAAUUUUAAUAAAUAAUUUAAUAUUAA